rnacentral:misc_RNA from 1 species
GAUGAAGAACGUAGCGAAAUGCGAUAAGUAAUGCGAAUUGCAGAAUUCAGUGAAUCAUCGAAUCUUUGAACGCACAUUGCGCCCGCCAGUAUUCUGGCGGGCAUGCCUGUCUGAGCGUCGUUUCGACCCUCGCGCCCGGCUUCUGUCGGGGGCGGUGUUGGGGAUCGGCCACACCCUUCAGUGGGAGGCCGGCCCCUAAAUUCAGUGGCGACCACGCUGUAGCCUCCCCUGCGUAGUACUAAAACCACCUCGCAGGCGGAGAGCGGUGCGGCCCGCCGUAAAACCCCCCAACUUUUACAAGGUCGACCUCAGAUCAGGUAGGAAUACCCGCUGAACUUAAGCAUACAAUAAGCGGAGGA